GUUCCCUAUCUAGCCAUAGGAUAGGAUCGUGCUCGAUUAUGGUUGUUGGUGAGGUAAAGGCUCACCAAGCCGAUAAUCGAUAGGGGCCGUGAGAGCGGGAGCCCCAAGAUGGGUACUGAGACAGCGACCCAGGCCUUACGAGGCGCAGCAGGUACGAAACCUCCGCAAUACACGAAAGUGUGACGGGGUUACCCAAAGUGUUCUUAUAGAACUGUGGCAGGUGAGUAAUGUCCCCUGCUAGAAAGGAGAGGGCAAGGCUGGUGCCAGCCGCCGCGGUAAAACCAGCUCUUCAAGUGGUCGGGAUAAUUAUUGGGCUUAAAGUGUCCGUAGCCGGUUUAGUAAGUUCCUGGUAAAAUCAGGUAGCUUAACUAUCUGUAUGCUAGGAAUACUGCUAUACUAGAGGGCGGGAGAGGUCUGAGGUACUACAGGGGUAGGGGUGAAAUCUUAUAAUCCUUGUAGGACCACCAGCGGCGAAGGCGUCAGACUGGAACGCGCCUGACGGUGAGGGACGAAAGCCAGGGGAGCGAACCGGAUUAGAUACCCGGGUAGUCCUGGCCGUAAACGAUGCAUACUAGGUGAUGGUACGGCCAUGAGCCGUGUCAGUGCCGUAGGGAAACCGUUAAGUGUGCCGCCUGGGAAGUACGGUCGCAAGGCUAAAACUUAAAGGAAUUGGCGGGGGAGCACCACAAGGGGUGAAGCCUGCGGUUCAAUUGGGAUUCAACGCCGGG
rnacentral:rRNA from 1 species